rnacentral:rRNA from 1 species
GACGAACGCUGGCGGCGUGCCUAAUACAUGCAAGUCGAGCGGAGUUUCAAGAAGCUUGCUUUUUUGAAACUUAGCGGCGGACGGGUGAGUAACACGUGGGCAACCUGCCCCUUAGACUGGGAUAACUCCGGGAAACCGAGCUAAUACCGGAUAAUCCCUUUCUCCACCUGGAGAGAGGGUGAAAGAUGGCUUCGGCUAUCACUAGGGGAUGGGCCCGGCGCAUUAGCUAGUGGUAAGUACGGCUUACCAAGGCGACGAUGCGUAGCCGACCUGAGAGGGUAUCGGCACACUGGGACUGAGACACGGCCCAGA